AUUACCCCCAGUUCCCCUAUUGGCGAACAUUGUCAAAUAACAAGUAGACGUUGUUUCUAUGAAUUUAAAAAUGGCGGACUGGGCAAUUUGACACAAUGGACUAUCUCCCUUCUCGAUACCUUGGGCAGCACAGUAGGUAUUUUUUUUUCUAAUGGAAUAGUAGGCAUACAUGUUUUUCAGAUCCAUGAAAGUCAGUCCAAAGUUAUUUUUCGGCCUUGACAGCAGCAAAAUUUUCGAGUGAAAUUGAAGAUUGAGAAAAAUUUGUUCUCGAUCAUUCUUCACCAGCUAGGGUCAAGAUCCCGAAGAACGAACAAUUUCAACAAUGCCGAAGAAUACCUGCAGCAAAUAUCUUUUCCCCUGUGGCCCAUUUGUCAAUCCGUGCUGCGUUCCGGCGAGUGGUCCCUGCUAUGGUCCCUCACUAGGAGUUUGUGCACCCUGCACUCCUUGUGGACCGUGUUCACCUUGUGGACCUUCUGGAGCUUGUGCACCAUGCAAUCCCGUUUGCGGUCCCUGUUGGGGCCCAAAUGGUCCCUGCGCCCGAAUUGAAUACUACGAUCGAUAAACAUCCCUUCCGAAUAUUAUUCGAAAAUUUUCAAUAAAUCACCUUUUUGGCAUUAAAAUCUA